UACGAAGGGUGCUAGCGUUGUUCGGAUUUACUGGGCGUAAAGCGCACGUAGGCGGAUCGUUAAGUCGGGGGUGAAAUCCUGGAGCUCAACUCCAGAACUGCCUUCGAUACUGGCGAUCUAGAGUCCGGAAGAGGUGAGUGGAACUCCUAGUGUAGAGGUGGAAUUCGUAGAUAUUAGGAAGAACACCAGUGGCGAAGGCGGCUCACUGGUCCGGUACUGACGCUGAGGUGCGAAAGCGUGGGGAGCAAACAGG
rnacentral:rRNA from 1 species